GAAUAUUGGACAAUGGGGGGAACCCUGAUCCAGCCAUGCCGCGUGUGUGAAGAAGGCCUUUUGGUUGUAAAGCACUUUACGCGAGGAGGAGGCUACUCUAGUUAAUACCUAGAGGUAGUGGACGUUACUCGCAGAAUAAGCACCGGCUACAUCUGUGCCAGCAGCCGCGGUAAUAAAGAGUGUGCAAGCGGUUAUCGGAGUUACUGGGGGGAAAGCACGCGUAGGAGGUCAAUUAAGUAAAAUGUGAAAUACCCGAGCUUAACAUGGGAAGUGCAUUCGAUACUGGUUGGCUAGAGUAUGGGAGAGGAUGGUAGAAUUCCAGGUGUAGCGGUGAAAUGCGUAGAAAUCUGGAGGAAGACCGAUGGCGAAGGCAGCCAUCUGGCCUAAUACUGACACUGAGGUGCGAAAACAUGGGGAGCAAACA
rnacentral:rRNA from 1 species